rnacentral:lncRNA from 1 species
UCAUUUCCAAUAUGUACAAUAUAUGUAAUCUCUAGAUACAAUUUUUUUUUUCUUUCUUAUUGGGUACUCUAAUUGAUAUCUUGUCCAAUGCCACAAUGUUUUGCUAACUUUUGUUUUAAUUUGAUUCAUUGUCUUUGUCUCUACGAAAAUAAAUUGUGUAAGGAAGGAGUUAGUUUGUGCACCUCAAGCCAACAUACUUAAUUUGGUCCAAUAGGCAAAUAGCAUUGUAAUUGGUCCAGAAAAUACUAUAUCAUAUGUGGAAUAAUGAAGAAAAAGUUUACCAUAUGUUAUCUUUAAAGAAGAAAACCAUAUUUUUAUAUGAAAUUGUUAGUGAGUUGGAUUUUACCAAAUUCAUCAUUCUCGUUUGGGAUAAGAUGAUAAGAUUAAGAGCCAUCAGAU